GCCAUCUUAGCUCAGCUAGGUAGAGCACAUCCAUGGUAAGGAUGAGGUCGUCGGUUCGAACCCGAUAGAUGGCU
rfam:Lactobacillus coleohominis 101-4-CHN genomic scaffold supercont1.4, whole genome shotgun sequence.